GGAUUCAAAUGAGUUGUCCAGGCAGACUUCAAAAGUGUUUUGGCAUGCUGCUGGAGGUGUAGCCAAUUACAUAACCACAUGGUUUAAUCAAAAGCCCAGCGGAUGAGAUACAGAAAAUCCUCAGCUGUGUGUCAUAAGAGUUAAAAGAAAUCAAACAGCUCUCUGAAUGUGUAUGCAAGUGAUGAAGUUGCCCAAGACUGAUAUUCCAGCCCCAGAACAGAGCAAGAUAACCUUGAGCAUCUGCUUCUACAUGAGUUUGGAGGUGCUACUGAUGGCAAAAGAAGCCACAAGACCAGUUCUGCCUGUAUUUGAGAUCAGAGAGGAGAGAAUGGAUAUGUUUUUAAAAGCAUUUAUCCUUUUGGUGAGUUGUUGGUGAGGAACAGCCACUGUUAUCUGCACAAACUCAAAGUUGGAACAGUUCUUAGUAUCUUUCUGUGUUAAAUAUUGCCACAUAUCAUGUUCAUGUUUCUACCUAGGCCUUAAAUGCUGGGUGGUUUGUGAUCAUGAAGGUAUAUAGUGUGUAAUUGAUUUUAUAUUAAUCUACCUAAGAAAUGAUCCCUUUUCAUAGAUCGAGUCCCCUUCUUUAUUCCCUCUACUGCCAGCUGUAAGCUGAGAGAGAGACUUCCCCCCAUCCCCUUGGCACUCACCUUAAAGUAAGGGAAGUGUUCCGUCAUGAAAUUGUAAAUCUCACUGACUGGCAAACUCCCUGUCUUGCUGUUUUUGAGUGCCAUGAAGAUCAGGAUGCUUCAGAGAGAGAAAGAAAAAAAAAAAUUAGCUUAUUCUGCUUGACUCCUCAAAAGCAGAAAAAGAGUGGGUUUUUUACAGUGAAUGUAAUUACUGUGGCUUGCGCUGCCUGAGCAUGAACACUGAUGAUACUCAAAGUUUCCACCCAGUUGUUUACAAUCACUCUCCUUACACUGCUUAACUUUUUGAGGUAGUUCUCAAAGCACACAUAGAAGGUCCAGCCAGGGCUUAAAAUAAAGUAAUACAAACUGGAAUCAAGUCCACAGCCUUCAAAUUCUACUAAUGUGUUUUUAUUUAAGGUUGUGUUUGAAUGAUAAAGGCCCCAAGAAGAGUGUCAAAAUGAAAGUGAAAAAAGGUACAAUUAAAAUGCAAUUGUCUGGUCUACUGUGUUAAGCUGCUCUCUGGGGGCUAAACCUGUGUGGUGACUGGCAUAUCUGAUAGGUUUUUAGGCAUUUCUUUGCCAUAAUAACUGGAGAAAAAACAUGAGAUUUAAUACAGGUCCUGGAGAAGACAACUACAGGUGAUUAGUCUUGUGCUGAUGAAAUUUGCAGCACCUAAGUUUUCAUACUGGAGAAACAUCUAGCUGUUGUGGGGUCAUCAAAACUGUUCACAAGCUUUACAACAUUGCAUUUCCCUCUGCCUUGGCCCCUGAGUCUGGAACAUGUUGUGAUUCAUACAAACAGGACAGAGCACACUGGGAACAAGACAAAUAAGAAUAAGCAUGUUGUUGCAAAUGAUGCUGGAAAUAGGCCAUGGGUAAACAGUGUAUUUCCUGUAACAUUAGAACUUGAGAAAGUAUGUUAUUACCUGUAGGAGUAGAUGGGUUUGGGAAAC